UACGUAGGUGGCAAGCGUUGUCCGGAAUUAUUGGGCGUAAAGCGCGCGCAGGCGGUUUUUUAAGUCUGAUGUGAAAGCCCACGGCUCAACCGUGGAGGGUCAUUGGAAACUGGAGAACUUGAGUACAGAAGAGGAAAGUGGAAUUCCAAGUGUAGCGGUGAAAUGCGUAGAGAUUUGGAGGAACACCAGUGGCGAAGGCGACUUUCUGGUCUGUAACUGACACUGAGGCGCGAAAGCGUGGGGAGCAAACAGG
rnacentral:rRNA from 1 species